rnacentral:rRNA from 1 species
AAUGAACGCUGGCGGCAGGCCUAACACAUGCAAGUCGAACGGAUCCUUCGGGAUUAGUGGCGGACGGGUGAGUAACGCGUGGGAACAUACCCUUUGGUACGGAAUAGCCACGGGAAACUGGGAGUAAUACCAUAUGUGGUCGAGAGACGAAAGAUUUAUCGCCAAAGGAUUGGCCCGCGUUGGAUUAGGUAGUUGGUGGGGUAAUGGCCCACCAAGCCGACGAUCCAUAGCUGGUUUGAGAGGAUGAUCAGCCACACUGGGACUGAGACACGGCCCAGACUCCUACGGGAGGCAGCAGUGGGGAAUUUUAGACAAUGGGGGAAACCCUGAUCUAGCCAUGCCGCGUGAUCGAUGAAGGCCUUAGGGUUGUAAAGAUCUUUCAGGUGGGAAGAUAAUGACUGUACCACCAGAAGAAGCCCCGGCUAACUCCGUGCCAGCCGCCGCUGUAA